rnacentral:misc_RNA from 1 species
CCCUUGAGACUUGUAACAUGCCGGUUUUGUGGAGACAUGGUCCAAGCAGGGACUUCAGCAGCAGAUGUGAGGGAUCGCUUAAGAGGACUUACACAGCACGAGAGUGUUUGUGGAUCAAGAACCGCCCCUUGUGAUUCAUGUGGGCGUUCAGUUAUGUUGAAGGAUAUGGACAUACACCAAGUUGCAGUCCACCAGAAAAAUUGAUCAUGAGUAGAUCUUUUAUUUCUUCUCUGGUGACUUUGGAUAUAAAAUGCUGGUUGAACUGUAAAA